UAGUUUUACAGAUGGGAAAUCUAACUCGCAUGAGAAAUAACCAUUCAUUAUAGUAUGACUGAUUUGAUGUCGAAAACGAGGAAUUAAAAUAAAGCAGAAAAAGCAAAAAGAAUAAAAGGAAGCCUACAGCACCCCGGAUUCCCAUGUUGUCUCCAACCAUAGUACUAACGAGGCCCUCAGACGCUUAACUGCAGUGAUCGGACGGGAACUGGUGUUUUCGCCUAGGUAUGGCCGUA